AGGAAUGAAAGAGGAUGGAUGAAAGAGGAAGAAAAUCAAGGCAGGAUUUGAAUGAAAGAGGAUGGAUGAAAGAGGAAGAAAAUCAAGGCAGGAUUUGAAUGAAAGAAGAUUAAACAGUAAGAAAAACAUGAAUGAAAGAUGAUGGACUAAAGAGGAAGAAAAAAGGAGGUUUUGUUAGUUUUUCACAAAAUAUUUAUUGGCUUUAAAUUAGAAAAUUUUACCUUAAUAAGAAUCAAACUUCCCAAUUAA